ACUGAAUUACAGAUAAUUUCCUGUGGUGAAAUUUGAAAAUAUAAUCUAAAAUAGGAUCUUAAAAAUCUAUAGAAUAGUGAGUAACAUUAAAAUGAAUAUCGAAUCGUUGUUUCGUUGUUAAGUUUAAAGUUCCAGUUAUUGACAGAUAUCAAAAUGGCGCCCGACAAGUUAACAGCAUCUGUCUACAUUAUUCUUAUUUACUUCGUGAUCUUUAUUUUACAAGACAUCGAGGCUUAUCUUUGUAAUACUGGAUACACCUACAGUACAAGAUACGUUUACUGUUUGCAUGGUUGCUGUUCAUCUUUCACACACAAAUAUAAAUGCUGUUCGUCGUAUUCUAGUUCCUACUAUUUUUAUACUACCAGCUUCUCAGCUGGUACGAUCAUUGGUGUUGUUAUAUCAGCGUUGGUCGGCUUGGGCGCACUGAUUACAAUUAUAAUAUGCUGUGUUUGUUCCAAAGCUAAGAGAGGAAGAGUUUUGAGGGCUGGUCCUGUUAACAAUACGGGUGUUACAGUUGUCAGUAGUACUGUUACCGGUCCGUCUACCGUUUCUUAUUGUGGAUAUGGAAAUCCUGGAUUCCAACCAUACAAUGUCCAGACACAGUUCUAUCCACCACAGACUCAACAAUUACCACCAUCUUAUGCACAAGCUACUCAUCCUCAAUACACUGAAGGAAAGUUGAUGCCCCCACCACAAUCGUCCCAGAUGUACAACAAUACACCAACUGCGCCACCGUCCACUAAUCAUUAUUCUAUGCCAGUAAACCCUGCUUAUCCACCACUAUACCCAGCUAAUGGUACUGCUGCUGUUAAUACUAUCAAUGUUCAAACAAAUCCUUACUCCCAAGGGGCCAUAGACGCUACCAAAUAAGACAAAAUACCGUGGGGGUUGGAUGGCCGAAUGGUUAGCAAGUGCGCGCUGUAUCAUAAGGUCUGUAGGGUUCCCUGUCCAACCUCGUGGGUUUUUUCCGGGAUCUCCUGUUUCCUCCCACUGCUAAAGACCCCUACGCGCAAGAUAAUUAUUGAAAUAAAAUUGAACCAUAUGUUAGUCUCGAAAUGACCUAGUUUGUGUCGAGUAGACGUUAAACCCCAUUUCUCUCUCUUAUCUUGGUUUGUCCAGGGUUUGAAAAUUAUAGUAGGGUUACAGUAAUGAAAAAAAUGUGCCAAGCUAAAAAAAAAAACUGCAAGAAAACGUUUUAUGGUUAGUAUAUGGUCUAGACAACAACAUAUUAAAAGUUGUCUGAAAUUGAGCUACCGCAAAGGGUCUAAAUAUGACGUCAAACAAAAUGGCCGCCAUUUGACCAAAAUCCCUUUUUUUUCUGGUUAUAUUCUAUCAAUGCUGU